ensembl:lncRNA
GGGGGUCUUUAUUUUACAGUGUCAAAGCAAUUUGACUAAAAUCAACAGGAAAUGCAAGUUUUAGUAGGUUUUAGUUUAUAUAUAUAUAUAUAUAUAUAUAUAUAUAUAUAUAUAUAUAUAUAUACAUUUAAGGCUACAAAAUUAACAUUAAGCAUUCAGGUAUAUAUUUUGCAUCAAGUUUGGAUUACUGUGCUUAUUUGCACUGCCAUAGUAUUAGCUUUUUUUUCUUUCUUUUUUUUUAACAGUUCAUCUACAGUUUUAUCAUUUAAACCUAACAAAUCUGUGUAUUUGUGUUAUUGAUCUUAAAAUAAAUGCAACUUUUAUGGUAUUCUAUUCAAUGCAGUGAUAUUAAUAUACGCUUCUAAUACUGUUUGAAGCCAGUGUUUCAUAAUAAUAGAUUAUUCCUUUAAACCAGUCGUAUGGACCGAGUCUUGAUUUUGUCUUGAGGAGUGCAGCUGUGGUCAGGCAGAGGUUAAUGGUUCCGCGCUCUGGCGGCUGGGCAGGCGCGGAGCUGCGGCGCUCUGACGCGGGGAUGGAGAGCUCAGAGAUGCGCUGCUGCUGCUGCUCCGACAGGAUCCCGCGGCCUGCUGCUUUCUCCGCUCUUCUGCGCCGAAGCUUUAAAUCACGGACAGACACGCAGGGUCAUCCCCCGAGGGUGUUGAUCUGGGUCAGAUCACUUAUCGCUGAUCUCUACAAGCCGCCUUUCCCAGCUUCGUUUCACUGCUGCCUGUAAGUGACUGCGACUGGGAGGGGGUUAAUUAGCAGGUUGGUGCUUUGGCAAUUGGCAGGCGUUCGUCUGUGUCUUGGAGACUUUAAACCGGCAUUAUGUAUAAAUAAAAUAGUUUUGCAUUUUCUAAAAAAUAUCUGG